UGAAAAAGGGAUAGAAGGCCGAUCAAACUCUGCUCACUCUCCCUCUCCCUCUCAAAAUUUAAAUCUCCUCCCGCUACAAAACCCUAACCAUUGUCGCUGCUCCUUCUCCUCCACUCGCAACCCAAUCCUCGCCGCCUAGCCUUCCCUCCUCGUCUUCUCCGGUGAAACCGCCUUCAACGGCGUCGUCGAGGAGCUCAAGAACUUCACCACUCGCGUAGCCCACGUGCUUCCUGUUUCGCGUGACGGAGGAAGCACUGCCGAGAUUGUCCGGUAAAAGCACCUCUGAGGCUAUCGCCAUCUGGCAAUUGCUUGGCCUGCCAAAAUCUCAAACCAGCUGUCCACCUCCGUCAAAAUCAAGUCGCUUUCCGACCUCUCGAUUAUCAAAUCGGCCUCAACCUUCACCUCUGCCUCGCCUUCGCUCCUUGCAGCUCAGUUCGGUGAUCUUAUAUUCCGUGCAGAAAAGAGACCUUCCUUGAUCUUAUUACUUUUGAUCUGGCCGAGUUCCAGGUGAUCAUGUAGAGGAUCAUUUAGAUAGAUCAUAGAACAAUAUUCUUCCACAGUUUUGACAAUUAAUAUACUGUUUCGUGUGAAUUAGUUGGAGUUGAUAAUUCUAGUGGACCAUUUAUGAUUUCUGGUAGCAUAGUAUUUGAUAUUUUGAUUGAUGUAUACUAAGAUAGUGUUUGAUUGCUUUAUACUACUACAAUCCAACUAUCCAAGUACUGUAUUUAGCUCUACUAAGGUAAUGUACUUGGGUCUUAGCAAAGGGAAAUGAGAUGAGGUUCUUGGUUUCAAUAUUCGACUGUUUGGUGAAUUGGUCUCAAUUUAGUGAUAAACAGAAUCAUGAAGUUUCCUAUUCCUAUAUGAAUGUACCAUUUUCUUUCUUUGGCAGUUUACAGAAGGUGGCUAGGAGCUCUGAGUACCAAUUGGACUAGAGUGAGAUCAGCUCAUGGGACUAGUAUCCCUCACAUCCCAUAACUAAUCAUUUUGAUUUUUUUGUUUAGUUUAUGUAGUUAUUCGCAUUUCUGUUUAUCAGGACCAUAUACAAAUGUGAAAUCCUCUUUGUUUCUUAUAUAACAUGAAACUCUGAGUAUCUUUGUCUCUGCAUUAUGGGUAGAUUUUAUGUUAAUAUCAGAUGCAGGACGAAUAUAUGUAGCACAUCUUUGAACUUUAUCAACUAUAUUUAGUCUUCUAAGAUACUAAUAUGGCAGGCUUUGUACACCACAUAGCUAACUCAAAAGGCAAAGAAGUAUCAUGAUGGUUUCUUGCAACUAGCAAUUACUGGGUCUCAUGGAAAGCAGGGAAGCAGUUUUUUUAAAAAGAAAAAGUAGAUCUUUUCUUUCCUCCAGAUUUUGCAGAUGAUUUCCCAGUUGCCAUGCAGGAGGUUCAAAGGUCGUCAUGCAGCUUGAAGCCCCAUUGAGAGGAGUGGCACCAAUGUUGACAGCAAUAUGUUUGGCUCCAUCACUUCUGGCAACAGAUUGAGUUCAUGUGUUUGUUUUAGUGAAUAGGUUGAAAGCUAGAAUGCAGUUUUCUGUAGAUUAG